UGGGGAAUCUUAGACAAUGGGGGCAACCCUGAUCUAGCCAUGCCGCGUGAGUGAUGAAGGCCUUAGGGUCGUAAAGCUCUUUCGCUGGGGAUGAUAAUGACAGUACCCAGUAAAGAAACCCCGGCUAACUCCGUGCCAGCAGCCGCGGUAAUACGGAGGGGGUUAGCGUUGUUCGGAAUUACUGGGCGUAAAGCGCACGCAGGCGGUUUGUUAAGCUAGAUGUGAAAGCCCCGGGCUCAACCUGGGAUGGUCAUUUAGAACUGGCAGACUAGAGUUCGAGAGAGGUGAGUGGAAUUCCGAGUGUAGAGGUGAAAUUCGUAGAUAUUCGGAGGAACACCAGUGGCGAAGGCGGCUCACUGGCUCGAUACUGACGCUGAGGUGCGAAAGUGUGGGUAGCGAACAGG
rnacentral:rRNA from 1 species